rnacentral:lncRNA from 1 species
CCGCAAUAUGCCUUGGAGCUUAGGCUGAUAAAUUUCAUUAUGUAAAUAUGUGUUGUACCUGUAAUAUGUCUUGGAGCUUAAGCUGAUAAAUUUGGUUAUGUUCUAUUAAUGUAGUAACUUCAAAAUCUAUCAUUGCUGCAGGAAAAAUGUAUAAGAAUAGAACACAUCUAAGGGUGCUUAAGGACUGGCAGCCAGCUGAUGUUGUGUUGCAGAAUUAGAGGGCUCUGGUUUUGAUCUUAUUUCAAGGAUCAACAUGGAUUAUAAGGUGACAAUCGAUUUUUUAUUGGCAUUAGUUGAUUCCUAUUCUAUCGAGCUGUCAUGCUUUAUUAUCGGUGAACAAAGAAUAGCCCCAACAUUGGAAGAUGUAGCUAGGAUUACGGGGUUUCCAAUUGAUGGCAUGUCUGUAAUUGGGUGUGAUUACAAAGCAGCUGAAUGCCCGACAUUUGCAAUGAAUUGCUUUUAUCUGCUUGGUUUCUUCAUGAGAAGAACAAGUGUGAAGUAAUUAUUAAAGAGCUACUACAUUUUAAGGACAUUCCCCUAGAUAUAGUCCGAGCUAGUCUUAACCCUUAUGUUAGGGCAUACGUUCUUUAUGUUAUUGGAUGUUUUGUUAUGCCUUCAAGGGAUUUAGGGUCGAUACCUUGCAUGUAUCUCUCCUUGUUGAGAAAUGUUGAUGCCAUAGAAAAUUAUGCAAGGGAAACUGCUUUGUUAUGCCAUUUACAUCACAACUUGAGAGAAUUUAAGAUAGCAAGUGUCGACCCUAGAAAAUGGUCGACAGGUGUUGAUGCGAGAUGAUAUACACAUGGACGAAUUCUG